UUUAUUAUGUCAUAUCACCCUGCAGCUCUCCCCUGGUUUCCCAUUGAAGCUAAACAGGGUUGAGCCUGGCCAGUACCUGGAUGGGAGACCUCUUGGGGAAAACUAAUGUUGCUGUUGGAA
rnacentral:rRNA from 1 species